AAGUAACAAGGGUUGCUUAUACUAUUUUAAUGUAUAUGGGAGUGCCUAUGAAACAGAUUGACAGGUUGGUCAUUCUAAGUUCUAUGGUGAUACGGUCACAUAGUAGUGAAAAUUGCAGCUAAUGAGAUGCUGAUUUUCUUUGUAAAUUGAUUUAUUUGAUGGCCCAGAGAUAAUGAUUAGUUGAUUUUAAUUGAUGCUUUUAAUUAUUUUAUCAUUUCGUUUACGCUUGGAUUAACGGUCAAAAUUCUAGAUAGACCUUACCAUAAUGUAUUUGAAUAGAUUAAUAAUUGUCAAACUUGUGUUAUAUAUUUUUAUGAUUUUUGUUUAGUGCCUCUUUUGUAGUUAUAAAUAUCAAGAGUUUGAAGUUGAAAGGAUAAUUGUUAAUUUAGAUUUUAAGAGUAAUCUUUUUGCAAGUUUUCCACAACUAUUCACGACGUAAAUUGAUAAAAUUACAUGGUAUAGCAAUUAUCAUUAUUUUUUUUUUUUAUUAUUAUUAGUUUAGAUUUUUUUAAGUAGUUUUAGUUAAAAGAAAAAGUUUAUUUUUUAAUGUUCACAUUGCCUCCCCUUAUUU
rnacentral:lncRNA from 1 species